rnacentral:SRP_RNA from 1 species
GCCGGGCAUGGUGGCGGGUGCCUGUAAUCCCAGCUACUCGGGAGGCUGAGGCAGAAGAAUCACUUGAACCCAGGAGGCGGAGGUUGCAGUGAGCUGAGAUGGUGCCACUGCAUUCCAGCCUGGGCGACAGAGUGAGACUGUGUCUCAA